rnacentral:antisense_RNA from 2 species
UGUAGGAGUGAGCCUGCUCGCGAUAGCGGUGUGUCAGAUACAUCUGUGUUAACUGACACACCGCUAUCGCGAGCAGGCUCACUCCUACA